UUAAUAUGAGAGUUUGAUCUUGGCUCAGGAUGAACGCUGGCGGCGUGCCUAAUACAUGCAAGUCGAACGAACUUCCGUUAAUUGAUCAGGACGUGCUUGCACUGAAUGAGAUUUUAACACGAAGUGAGUGGCGGACGGGUGAGUAACACGUGGGUAACCUGCCCAGAAGCAGGGGAUAACACCUGGAAACAGAUGCUAAUACCGUAUAACAGAGAAAACCGCCUGGUUUUCUUUUAAAAGAUGGCUCUGCUAUCACUUCUGGAUGGACCCGCGGCGCAUUAGCUAGUUGGUGAGGUAACGGCUCACCAAGGCGAUGAUGCGUAGCCGACCUGAGAGGGUAAUCGGCCACAUUGGGACUGAGACACGGCCCAGACUCCUACGGGAGGCAGCAGUAGGGAAUCUUCCACAAUGGACGCAAGUCUGAUGGAGCAACGCCGCGUGAGUGAAGAAGGGUUUCGGCUCGUAAAGCUCUGUUGUUAAAGAAGAACGUGGGUGAGAGUAACUGUUCACCCAGUGACGGUAUUUAACCAGAAAGCCACGGCUAACUACGUGCCAGCAGCCGCGGUAAUACGUAGGUGGCAAGCGUUAUCCGGAUUUAUUGGGCGUAAAGCGAGCGCAGGCGGUCUUUUAAGUCUAAUGUGAAAGCCUUCGGCUCAACCGAAGAAGUGCAUUGGAAACUGGGAGACUUGAGUGCAGAAGAGGACAGUGGAACUCCAUGUGUAGCGGUGAAAUGCGUAGAUAUAUGGAAGAACACCAGUGGCGAAGGCGGCUGUCUGGUCUGUAACUGACGCUGAGGCUCGAAAGCAUGGGUAGCGAACAGGAUUAGAUACCCUGGUAGUCCAUGCCGUAAACGAUGAUUACUAAGUGUUGGAGGGUUUCCGCCCUUCAGUGCUGCAGCUAACGCAUUAAGUAAUCCGCCUGGGGAGUACGACCGCAAGGUUGAAACUCAAAAGAAUUGACGGGGGCCCGCACAAGCGGUGGAGCAUGUGGUUUAAUUCGAAGCUACGCGAAGAACCUUACCAGGUCUUGACAUCUUCUGCCAACCUAAGAGAUUAGGCGUUCCCUUCGGGGACAGAAUGACAGGUGGUGCAUGGUUGUCGUCAGCUCGUGUCGUGAGAUGUUGGGUUAAGUCCCGCAACGAGCGCAACCCUUAUUACUAGUUGC
rnacentral:rRNA from 1 species